GCGUGAAGGAUAACGUUGCGUCAGCAACGGCCCGUAGGGCGAGGCGAAGCCGAGUCAUCCUGCACGACCCACCG
rnacentral:sRNA from 1 species